UACGUAGGGCGCAAGCGUUAUCCGGAAUUAUUGGGCGUAAAGAGCUCGUAGGCGGUUUGUCGCGUCUGCCGUGAAAGUCCGGGGCUCAACUCCGGAUCUGCGGUGGGUACGGGCAGACUAGAGUGAUGUAGGGGAGACUGGAAUUCCUGGUGUAGCGGUGAAAUGCGCAGAUAUCAGGAGGAACACCGGUGGCGAAGGCGGUUCUCUGGGCCUGUACUGACGCUGAGGAGCGAAAGCGUGGGGAGCAAACAGG
rnacentral:rRNA from 1 species